rnacentral:rRNA from 1 species
CCUACGGGGGACAGCAGUGAGGAAUAUUGGUCAAUGGGCGCGAGCCUGAACCAGCCAAGUCGCGUGAGGGAUGAAGGUUCUAUGGAUCGUAAACCUCUUUUAUAAGGGAAUAAAGUGAGGCACGUGUGCCUUUUUGUAUGUACUUUAUGAAUAAGGAUCGGCUAACUCCGUGCCAGCAGCCGCGGUAAUACGGAAGGUCCGGGCGUUAUCCGGAUUUAUUGGGUUUAAAGGGAGCGUAGGCCGGCUUUUAAGUCAGCUGUGAAAGUCCGCGGCUCAACCGUGGAAUUGCAGUUGAAACUGGAGGCCUUGAGUGCACACAGGGAUGCCGGAAUUCAUGGUGUAGCGGUGAAAUGCUUAGAUAUCAUGAAGAACUCCGAUCGCGAAGGCAAGUGUCCGGGGUGCAACUGACGCUGAGGCUCGAAAGUGCGGGUAUCAAACAGGAUUAGAUACCCCUGUAGUC